CCUCGUAUUAGGUGUGCCGUAAAAAAAUCCAAUACAUUGAUAUUGAUUUUGUAACCGUAACUAUUUCAGUACUGCAUGAGUUUGAAUUUGCAUCUUAAUAAUACCAACCCAGAACUUGGAAGCAAACAGAAAUUACACGAAGAACAUGUGCUGCGAACCAUUGCUGUCAGUGCUUUCCUGUAACCUAGACAGAAACUUAGCAAGCUAGCCCUGGAUAUUGCGCCGGCUAACUAGCUAACCGUUCCGCAAUACUUAGCAAUCGCUAGCACUGCAUGUUUCUGAACGCUGUUUUUCAUUUAUAAUCGAGUGAGCGGUCAAUGCGGAGGCCGGAACUGAGUCUUUCCUCAAGUGAAAGGUUUCUGUCAGCAACGGACAUCGCGGGCGGGCUUGGGCUGAUCUCGCGCCAGGUCGUCCAAGGUGAAUGCUGUUGACUUCGGACUGAGGGUCGGGGCGCGUGCGGAGAGCUGCGGCAUGCUGGCGUGACUGUCCGUGAGGAGCGGCCGCGGCAGGAAGCGGGCGGA